rnacentral:rRNA from 1 species
AAUAGAUACCCUGGUAGUCCACGCCGUAAACGGUGGGCACUAGGUGUGGGCCGCUUUGUGUGGUCUGUGCCGUAGCUAACGCAUUAAGUGCCCCGCCUGGGGAGUACGGCCGCAAGGCUAAAACUCAAAGGAAUUGACGGGGGCCCGCACAAGCGGUGGAGCAUGUAGUUUAAUUCGAAGCAACGCGAAGAACCUUACCAGGUCUUGACAUCCCACUGACCGGUAUAGAGAUAUACCUUUCCCUUCGGGGACAGUGGUGACAGGUGGUGCAUGGUUGUCGUCAGCUCGUGUCGUGAGAUGUUGGGUUAAGUCCCGCAACGAGCGCAACCCUUGAUCUUAGUUGCCAGCAUUUAGUUGGGCACUCUAAGGUGACUGCCGGUGACAAACCGGAGGAAGGUGGGGAUGACGUCAAAUCAUCAUGCCCCUUAUGACCUGGGCUACACACGUGCUACAAUGGAUGGUACAAAGGGCUGCAAGACUGCGAAGUCAAGCCAAUCCCAUAAAACCAUUCUCAGUUCGGAUUGCAGG